UUUUUUCGGCUGACUCUUGAGUCCAUCCAAGAAAUGCAUCAGAUAUCACACAUGUAGGUGGAUGUUGCAAAGCUGAUAGAGCCUGCUCGAAGAGCGGCUGCAUCAGCUUUGUAGCAGUAACGAAUGCACCGAAAUAGGACAUGGAAGGAAGCUUCGCAGUAUUUUCAACACCAGGAGGGAUGCCUUGUACGUCUUUAGGAAAUGGGAGUUCGAUUACAGAGAUGGAUACAUCUUGUAGAUAAUCGCGGAUGGAGGGGGCGUUAACGGGGGUGGUGAAGAUGGUGACGGUGAUGAAACGGUUGCGCAAAAGAGUGGCAAGGUGGAGGAGAGGGAUGGUGUGACCAUGAGACAUGAAAGGAAAUAUCACAAAGUGUGGUGAUGCAACUCUGUCCAUUCUAUUUUGCUGCCAAUGAAAAUGGAUUUGAUUGAUAUCUAAGCAAUGGGAAUUGAAUGGUGUUAAAUAUAAUAUAUCCUUGCUUCAGUUUUACUUUUAUCACUUUUAAUCUUAAAAAAAUUACUGAAGUAAUAUAACAUCUCAAUUAAGCAAUAAAGUAGUGUGAUAAAAUAGUUAAAUAUAACAUAUAAUAAUGAACGAUGAGACUGCGAGUAUUGACUAGUCGAUGGUGGCCAUAAGCUGAGUCAACUUGGAUUUGUCUCUUCCCAAUUAAUUCAAUAGAAAUCUUAUGGAGAAGUAGCCUUAAAGAGUAUGAGUUUCUAGUGUAUCUAUUAUCAAAUCAAUCAAUGUUUGUUUAAUAAAAUAUUUUUGCCUGAGUGUGACUAUUUCGCGGAGAAAAUAUAUUAGACAUAUAUAAAUAUUUUAUUUGUUUGACCUAUUUUAAUUUAACACAAAAUUAAGAAAAAUAAAGAAGAAUUUUUAAUGUAAAAAUAAAUCAAAUGUAUUGAUUUUUUUUUUAUUAAUCUUGUGAUUUUAAAACUGCACUUUUAUGGUAAUGUGUAGUGUCCUCUACACAGGGCGGAUCUAGGAAGGUUCAAGGGUGUCACGAGACAUGGCUUCGUCAGAAUAUAUAUAUAUAUAUAUAUAUAUAUAUAUAAAAUAAAAAGACCGAAAUAAACCAAGAUAUAUAAAAUACAGUGUUAACUUUUAACAUAAAAGUAUGUGCGGCUCAGUCGGUCUAGUAUUGCAAUUCUUGAGCGAGGGUAGUAUUGUUUGAUAUAUUUUCUUUUCUUCGUUUGCUUUUUAUUUUUUCUUCUCUUGAUAUUUUAUAUUAACAAAAUAUUUAAUACUAUUAUUUUUAAUGAAAUCAUUUUCAAAAUGAAGAUUUAACUUAAUAUAUUUUUUUAUUUUACUUUUUGAAAAAGAGGUAUAAUAGUAAACGUAUGUGUAUAUAUAUAUAUAUAUUAAAAGGUGACACGGCUUGAAAAAAUUUCUGCGUACACCACUGUCUCUACACCUUUAUCCAUUUGGUUUGUUCCUUUUCGUUAUCUCUUUAAAUUUUUGGAUUAAAAAAAAUUACCCUUUUAGGCUCCAAACUCUAGAAAUACAAAGAGUAUUAGAAAUAUGAAUUAUCAGACUAACCCCAUUGUAUAGUACUUCCCCAUUUCAAAAAAGACUCGUAAUACUAAAUUUUACAAAAACAAGAAGUGAAGACUUAUUCUCAAUAUGCAAGAAAUUUAUCAUCUCGCUUUGAGUUUGUAUUUUUGGGGGGUGAGGAGGAGAUUGUGGCCCCAUGAUAGCGUUCUACGACCCUUAAACUCCUCAUUUGGACCAAUUUAUGUGAAGUGACUUUAUGCGUUGCAAAUACAGUGUAAUUAUCUCAUAAAAAAUUAAAUAUAGCUGAACAUAUUCUUCGCAGUCCGUAUGUAACAAUCGAGGAUAUUGUUUUACUGUUAUUAUUAAUUGAUGUGUCUAUUUCUGGUCUCGUUGUUGGCUCUUAUUGAUCAAGUGGUACUGUAGCAGUAUUCAAGUCUCCCUUCAAAUUUUCAAAAAAGUCUGCUGAUAUUGUCUUAAAUGUAGCAAUCUAAAAUACUACUUAAUUAUUCUUAGGAAAAGAAAAAAUCAAACAGGAAAAACAAAGUUAGCCGCACCAAUUAAUGGGAGAUUUAAUUUCCCUUUAUUGUAGGAGAAAGACUUAUACAAAAGGUGCCCACCUAUUCUUGUAGCACAAUCAACUACACCAUAAACUGAUUGGAUAUAGAGUUGCCUUUGUAUGAGAGUGUUGAGAUUUUUUCGCGCGAAUUCAAAUUUAGUCAAACUUUUAAUAUGGUUAAAAAAAAAAAACUAUACCAUAAACUCCUUAUUAGAUGAUCAAAUUAAAGCAAACGGCUUAUACAUUAUUGAGCACAACAAUAUACUCAAAAGGCUUUAAACAUCAACAGGGAAGAACAUGUAGCUCUUAAAUAACCUACACUAGAUUAUCCAUCACUAACAAGCAGGACGGAGCUACAAUUGGUACGGAUACGGAUUUAGAUGAGCUUACUACUUGUAUUUGAAAAUUCAUUAUACAAUUUAGUAACUUAAACGAACUAUGAUUUCAAUGGCAAAUUAAUAGUAAUCUAUCAACUUCAAAUUCUGGCCGAUUUUGGAUUUCAAAGUUUUCUGGCGCAGGCAUCAUCAAUAAGGAGGCCUAAAGUGGACCAGGUUGAGCCACCUUCUUUCAUAGCUUCCUCUGCAUUUUCACCCAAUUCCUUCACUUUCUUCCUCACCAUUUCUCCCUUUUCACCUUCCAUUAACUCUCUCACCAUUUUCUCAACUUCUUCAGCUUCCACGAAACCCCUCACUGAUCCAUUUCUCGGCAUAAUCCUCAAUCCCACCCCAAUUUCUUCCGUCACCAUUCUUGCAUUUAAGUGCUGUUCAGCCAUAAAUGGUAAAGCCAAAAUAGGCACUUUAGCACAUAUACUUUCCAAAACAGAGUUCCAUCCACAAUGACUCAAAAACCCUUUAAUGCUUUUGUGAUUCAACACUUGAUUCUGAUCAACCCAUUCUUUAACUAUCAAUGCUCUGUUUUUUACUCUGUUUUCAAACCCCUGUAAAUCCUCGAGAACAUUUUGUCUUGUCACCCAUAUGAAACAUGUGUUGGAUGAUUCUAGACCCUUUGCGAUUUCCUGUAUUUGUUCAGCGGAAACUUCUGCUUGAGUACCAAAUGCUACGUACAUAACAGGCUGUUUUUCUGUCAAUUUAUUAUUGAGCCAUUGCAUCCAUGUUUCGACUGUUUGUGAGAGUGUUGCUAUCAUGGCCCGCUUGGCUAGGCAAAGAGGUCCAACACACCAUGAUUUCGGUCCCAGAUGUUUGUUGAAAUAGUCUGCAAAUCUUGGUUCUAGUUUGUAAAAGCUAUUGCUGAUCAUGCCACUGCUCUUUGAAAAGGAAAUAGCUGUUCAACAUAAAUAAAUAAACUCAUUCAAUCUCAAAUGUUACCUUUCAAUAAUUACAAUUAUUUAACUUUAAAAUAUUUAAAUUAUAACCACAUAAAUAUUCAAUAACUCAUUUGGUCAAAUUUCUUAUAUCUUACUUAUUUUGAAUUAUUCUUUCUUUCUGAGAAGUACUAAUAUGUGUUUAACUAAUUUAUUUACAUAUACUUUUGCCAAAGUAAUUUGGGAAUGAUCAAAGUGUUAUACUCCCUCCGUCCUAUUUAUAUGUCAUUCCUUUCUAUAAAUAGUUGGAGCACAAUACUAGAAUUUAUGUAUAAAUUACCAUAUUUUGUAUAUUAUACCCUUGUUACAAUAGAUAAUUAAUCUUGUCAUUUAUUAAUAAAGUUGACUUAAGAAAAUAUUAAAUAAUGGCAGAAGGGUAAAUUUACAUAAUUUCUUAAUACAAAUGCAAAGUAAAAAGGUGACAUAUAAAAUGGGACGGAGGGAAUAUUUUUUAGCUUCUGAACGUCAAAAGGUCCAUACUUCUAUGGCUGCUAAAAAAUAUUUACUUUUCUUUCUUUUUCAAAAAUCUUAAUCAAACACUUCAACUUUCUAAAAUAAAUAAUUUUUUGUUUUAUAAAAAUAUUUUUACUUUUCAAAAGAUUCACCAAACAAAUUAUAAAACUCUAUAUAUUUAUUUUAUUAAAACUCUAUACUCAGUUAAACAAUCACAUAAAAAAUUGAAACUGAUCAAGUAUCCCAAGAGUGUUUAUAUCUCUCCAAUGACUUUAAAAUUUUGAUGAGUACUGAAUCACCUAAAACUUCAACAUAUAUUAAUGUAUGGAUCUUGGAAUACGCAAAACAUAUAUUUUCACGUGUUUGGCUAUGAGAAGUUAUUAAAUGAACAUGUGAAGGGUCAGCAUAUAUUAUUAAGACAAAAAAUAAACAUAAACAUUAUACUAUAUGAUGUGAUCUGCAAAAAUACGUACCUUGCUCCAUCAUAAAGUCCACGGCUAGACCUUUUGGCUCAAGGUCUCCAAACGGAGGUUCAAAAUCAUUUCUUGUGAACUUGAACCAUGGAAAACUUGAAAACGUAAAACUCUCAUCUAGUGAAAUAGUUUCAGCAUGAGGACGUUCUAUCCCAAUAAGUUGAUACAUAGUCGUGGCGAAAACACUCAUACCAAAGAAAAAGUACCUUGGGAUACCAAAUUUUUGGGCGGACUCUUGAGUCCACCCAAGAAACGCAUCAGAUAUAACACAUGUAGGUGGAUGUUGCAAAGCUGAUAGAGCCUGCUCGAAGAGCGGCUGCAUCAGCUUUGUAGCUCUAGCGAAUGGAUAGAAAUAAGACAUGGAAGGAAGCUUUUCAGUAUUUUCAACAUUUGGAGGGAUGUCAUGUACGUCUUUAGGAAAAGGG
rnacentral:lncRNA from 1 species